CCUCUUGAGCAGCAGGAAGAAAGCUGGGGAGUUCAGCUUCCUACCUGUAAGGAGGGUGCUGUGGACGGAUUAAGAAUAACGCUGUGAAGGAAAAGCUUGGCUCUCAGUUUGCUCCGUGUGGAGCACCCGGCUUUCCAGAGCUGUGGCGCAGAGGUGGAGAAAAGCUUUUGUCAAUAUGUGCGUUUCAGAGUACAGUGGGACACGUUCCUAGGGCGACAGAACCAGUGGUCCUGUAUCUGCAGGCGAAGGUGUCAGGUGGUACACUUGAACACUGUGCGAAGACACUGCCUUCAUCAUUUCUUGGGAAGUCUUGAAUUACCCCGAGGUGCUGAUAACCAGAUAGGAUGCUGUUCUUGCUGUGUAAGCAUGCUAGCCUUGGAAAUGAAUGCACUGUGGUAACCUAGGUUUUGCUGUUUCAGAAUAAAUUUUUAUUACAAAGAAAAUGUAUUUACAUUCUAGAAAAUGAAGACAGACAAAAGAGAAGAAAAUUAAAAUGUCCUGCAGGCUGGGUGGGGUGGCUCACACCUGUAAUCUCAGCACCAUGGGAGUCCAAAGCAGGAUUGCUCAAGACCAGAAGUUCAAGACUGGCCUGGACAACAUAGCAGGAGCUCAUCUCUACAACAACAACAACAAUUUAGCCAGCCUGACUUCAGUUCAUUCUAAACACAAUGAACAAGAGUGUUCCUGUUAAAACUGAAGGCUGGCCUUCACCUCAGGACCCUGCUUCCUGGCAGCUCUUCCAAAAGUGGCUCCCUUCCCUCACACAGUCUUCACACCCCUGGACCUCAGAGAUGCACCCUUGGAACAAGCUGGAUCCAGCUAACCAGGCUUUGACAAUGCAAACUCAGUCGAAAUCUGCCUCUUCUGGUUGGAGAAGUGGGAGAGAGAGUGGAGAGGGAGAAGGAGAUGGAGAGAAGAAGCUGUCACGAAACCAAGUUCCUUAACAAGGCUUUCAGUCCAGGCAGUGAAUCUGCCCCCAUAGAGUUGAACUUCAUGGAACGGAAAGUCUGGGUGAAGCAUAUGUAUGUUUUAUUUAUUCUCAGAUCUUAUUCUUUAAUUAACUGAACUGCACAUAUUAUUACUGUGUAAUUUAAAGGAGCAUAUAUAUUUUUAUUGCACAGCCAACUAAAAUGUUCAUUAAGCAUUUUUAAUGAUGUGAGAAAAUGCUUAUGAUAAAACAUUGAGAAUGAAAGCAACAAAGAAAGCAUCAUUCAAAAUCUUAGCUAGCUUAUGACUUCAAGAACGUGAAAAAGCAUAGAACAGGAUGGUGUGUGAAAACACUAAUUUUAUUUGCUUAGUAGGAUUGAGGAUUUUUUGAUUUUAAAAAUUCUUCUGUGUGAUUUAAAUAAACCUAUUUUUUUUAAGGCAAGAAUAUGUGUGACAGGAUAUAUAGGGCUUCUCUAAAUCUGGUAUGAAAUGGAUAAGGGUAUAUGCCUAGGGCUAUGGCUGGCUAAUAAUUCAGACUGACCAUCCCACUGAAAAUAACUAGAAAUACUGGAUAAAAAAGUUAAAAACAUCUUAAAAGCAUGUAAAGUUGCCAAGAUAGUAAGGAAUUAACAGGUCAAAUUUCAGUGAAGGUGGCACUUUGGGAGGUCAGUGAACACCAAAGCCUCUGGCUCUUGCCCUGACACCUUUGCUGAACUUGCCAAACUGACUGGCAGUUUUGAGACUUGCUAGGUAAGGAAGAGAGAAGCCCAAUAGAAGAGGCUAACAGGAGAACAUUUCAUAGAAAACCAGGACCCUAGAAUCCCAUACUCUCCAGGGGACUGCAAAGACUUAUCUUUGUUUUUAGCUGGGAACGGAUUAAAAAUAUCCCUAAAAAAUUAUAACCACAGGGCUGGGCUCGGUGGCUCAUGCCUGUAUCCCAGCACUUUGGGAGGCCGAGGCGGGCAGAUCACCUGAGGUCAGGAGUUCGAGACCAGCCUGGCCAAUAUGGCAAAACCUCAUCUCUAUUAAAAAUACAAAAAUUGGCCAGGAGCAGUGGCUCACGCCUGUAAUCCCAGUGCUUUGGGAGGCCAAGGUGGGUGGAUCACGAGGUCAGGAGAUCGAGACCAUCCUGGCUAACAUGGUGAAACCCCGUCUCUACUAAAAAUACAAAAAAAAAUUAGCUGGGCGUGGUGGUGGGUGCCUCUAGUCCCAGCUACUUGGGAGACUGAGGCAGGAGAAUGGCGCGAACCCGGGAGGCAGAGCUUGCAGUGAGCAGAGAUCACUGCGCCACCACACUCCAGCCUGGGUGACAGAGCCAGACUCUGUCUAAAAAAAAAAAAAAAAAUUAGCUGGGUAUGGUGGUGCGUGCCUGUAGUCCCAGCUACUCAGGAGGCUGAGGUGGGAGGAUCACUUGAACCCAGGAGGCAGAAGUUGCAGUGAGCCAAGAUCAUGCCCCUGCACUCUAGUCUAGUGCCUAGGGCAACAGAGUGAGACUCUGUCUCAAAAAAAAAAAAAAAGAAAAAAAAGGAAAACAAGAAAUUGUAAUCAUAUGUCUACCUUUACUGGGAUUCCCAGUUACAACUUUCACCUAAUCUGGGUGCCAGAUGGAUCUAGAUUUUGUAGGAAUUGAUGCCUAUAUGAUUUGGGGGUGGGGACCUCAUUAAAGGAAAAAUAUACAAUUAAAAUACAAUAAUUAAGUACAAAUAUGAACAUUCAUUUGGAAGAGAAGCCACAACACAUUCCAAAUUUUAAAAGCUCAAAAAUAUCACAAACAUCACAAACGCCAGAAAAGUAACAUAUUUUAUUAGUGGCUUGACAGCAAUAGAACCCCUUUUUCUUUCUUUUUUGGCUACUUUGAUAGCCUCUUUAUAAGACAAUGAUUUUGUAAUAUAGCUUUGUAUACAGAGAACAUAAAGAUGAUUUAGUGUCUACUCUAGCAUGGGUGAUAGAAAUUUAUUUUGUUAUUGAUGGCUUAGAAAAAUUUCUUUAAGAUUCAUAACUCAUCACUGGUAAUGUCAUGCACAUUUUUAGGGUUAUUAUCAAAUUUGGGAAGUUCUCUUCUAAGUUUCUUUCAUAUAUGAGCUAUAAAAUUUCAUGUCACUUCAAGUUUUUGAGGAUAGUGACUCAUCUUAAAUACUCUUAAUGACCCUCCCCCACUAACCAGUUUGUUGAUGACAUCUAGUUUGUAGUGACAUAUUAUCAGUUUUAUGUUAUUUUAGUUGGUGCCAGUAUUUUGUUUCAAAUUGGCAAGAAAUUUAAGUCUUUUUAAAUGUGUUUAGAUAUUUCACUUUCUCAUUAAUUGCAUUUCAAGCUGCCCAAGAAUUCAUUUAUUAAUUUUAUCUGAAAUUUAUGUCUUUCUCUCUAUUAUUAACUGCUCUUCGUAUAGUCUAAACAUUUUUUUGGCUACAGUUUUUGCUGAAAUUUUUUGCUAUUUUUCUUGAUGUCAGAAUAAUUUUUAUUGAUUUCGUUACUCAUCUUUAUCACCUUUGUUGUAUAUUUCAUUAAUGUUUUAUCAAAAUUCCCUUCCAGUUCUUUUGAAAUAAAUUUAAAGAUGACAAGAGCUACCUAUUACAUGGAUCUAAUUCAGGACUCUGUAAUUUAUCACUUGUUUUACUGAAACAUUCCAAAAUAUUUUACCAAAUUGCAGUUAAAAUGGCACAUUUAAAGUUUUUAAAUAAACUUUUUUGCACCUC